CAGAAGACAGGCCUUGAUGUCAGAGGGAGAGAAAUAAAACCAAGUAAUUCAGUGAUGUGUCGGAUGGAAGCAGCAAGAAAGACACGCGGACACUGGAGGUGUUACCUCUCCCUGAGGUUAAAAACCUUCUCCUUUUUUCCUUGACUUCAGUGUGUUCCCAUCUUUGUGCACGCAGAUAGCCCGGCCGCUGAGGAUGCGCUCGUAUGAAACGGCUCCGUGAGCGAUUGCUGAUUCCCGGCGAAGAUAAAGUGCUGGUCUGUCCAGGAGACUGAAAAAUGAGGCCAAGGAGAGCGAUGUCUGUGACCGGGCAGAGAGAUUAGGAAGGUCACCGUGUGCAGGGGGGAGAUCAGAAGCAGGCGCCGCCGCGAUGCUCGCGCCUUCCGAGGAGUUUUAAGGAGGAAUGAAGGACGCCGGAGAAGUGAAAGUCGGCGAGGCCGGGAGAGCGGACGUGCCGCGCAGCGUCUCCUCGGCCCAGCCAGACUGCAGAGGACGGAGGAGGAGUCUUUAUACGCUCCGCUAUCUGAUCGAUUGGGACAUUUGCAAAUGAGCUAAUCUGCGGCUAAUCUUAAUUAUCUCUUCAUUGCCGUAUGGUCAUUUUAAGGACGUGCUUAUCGCUUGCUGGAGAAGUAAUUUGGUUUGCAUAAACAACCUCCGUACAUAUGUCUGUCCACUAUUGAGAUGGCAGUAUGUCCAUGUCUACAGCAGGCUCAGUUCUUAGCUGUGCUGUCCUAAUACUGCUAGUGAGAUAAGAAGAUGGCUGAACCAAGAGGACACUUGGUGCUGAAGUUGGGAGCAGGAAGCCCAUUGUCCACUGUUAUUGAUGUCUCAGCUAGUGUGUGUAUACGAAAGUGUAUUCAUCUGUGCUUGCAUGCAAGAGUGUACAUUUAUAUGUGUUUGGACCUUUAUAUAAGGUGUCUGUGUGUGACUAUGUUAAUGUGUUGUGUGUUUGUGCCUGCGUGCAUGUAUGUACCUUCAUUUGAAUGUAAAUGUGUCUGUAUGCAAAUAAGUUUUGUG